UACGAGGGGGGCGAGCGUUGUUCGGAAUUAUUGGGCGUAAAGGGUGCGUAGGCGGUUUGGUAAGUCUGAUGUGAAAUCUAUGGGCUCAACUCAUAGUCUGCAUCGGAAACUGCCGGGCUUGAGUGUGGGAGAGGUGAGUGGAAUUCCUGGUGUAGCGGUGAAAUGCGUAGAUAUCGUAAGGAAGACCAGUGGCGAAGGCGGGUCUCUGGACAGUUCCUGACACUGAGACACGAAGGCCAGGGGAGCAAACGGG
rnacentral:rRNA from 1 species